rnacentral:piRNA from 1 species
UGAACCAGUGUGUAAAACCUUUGAUUUUC